UUAUUGGGCUCGGCGCUGGUGAUUCGGUGCGAGUCCGGGCUGGAGGGGGUGGAGCGGGGCCGCGCUCAGCCGCCGCCGCUCGCGGGGCUGUCGUCGUCUCGGAGGGGGCCGCGGCGCUGGGAGCGCGGCGGGGCCGGGCCGGGCAGUGCGGGGCUGCCCACUUCGCUCCGAGUUUCCAGUGGUUUCCCGUGCGUUCGCGGGGAGGAAAAGUCUUUGAGCUGGAAUCCCUCAAAUAACCUUUAAAGAUGAAGGCAGCAGAUGAGCCUGCCUACCUGACAGUGGGAACUGAUGUCAGUGCCAAGUACCGUGGUGCCUUCUGUGAGGCAAAGAUUAAAACAGUGAAAAGGCUUGUGAAAGUCAAGGUGGUCCUGAAGGGAGAUAACUCAACUCAGUUAGUGCAGGAUGACCAAGUGAAAGGACCUUUAAGAGUUGGUGCAAUGGUUGAAACCAAAAUGCCUGAUGGAUCCUUUCAAGAAGCUGUUAUCAGCAAGUUGACAGAUGCUAGUUGGUAUACUGUAGUUUUUGAUGAUGGUGAUGAAAGGACCUUGAGACGAACUUCAUUAUGCUUGAAGGGAGAAAGGCACUUUGCGGAAAGUGAGACGCUUGAUCAACUGCCACUAACCAAUCCAGAGCACUUUGGAACUCCAGUUAUUGGGAAGAAAUCUAAUAGAGGAAGAAGAUCUUCCCUUCCUGUUACUGAAGAUGAAAAGGAGGAAGAAAGUAGUGAAGAGGAAGAUGAAGAUAAAAGGCGUCUCAAUGAUGAACUGCUUGGCAAAGUUGUGAGUGUGACUUGUAAUUCUGAGAAGGCAGACUGGUAUCCAGCUUUGGUUGUGUCUCCCAGCUGUAAUGAUGACAUCACAGUGAAAAAGGACCAGUGUUUAGUUCGAUCCUUUGCAGAUUCCAAAUUUUACUCAGUAGCAAGAAAGGACAUUAAAGAACUAGACGUUCAGAACUUGCCAAAAUCUGAGUCUUCUCCUAAAAAAGGGCUACAGGAGGCAAGCACGUUUCUCAGCACAAAGGGUGUUCCUCGGAACUGGAAAAUGGACAUCAGUGAAAUUCUGGAGUCCUCUAGCAGCGAUGAGGAAGAUGGAGCUGCUGCAGAAACUGAUGAAGAGGAAGAAAAGAGAGAAGAGAAAACUGAAGAAGUAGUGCCUGAGGAAGAGCUUGAUCCUGAAGAGAGGGACAACUUCCUCCAACAGCUUUACAAGUUUAUGGAAGACAGAGGUACUCCUAUCAAUAAACCACCUGUUCUGGGCUACAAGGACCUUAAUCUCUUCAAACUUUUUAGACUGGUCUAUCAGCAGGGUGGGUGUGACAGUAUUGAGAGUGGUGCUGUAUGGAAGCAAAUUUAUAUGGACCUUGGCAUUCCUAUUUUGAACUCGGCUGCUUCCUACAAUGUGAAAACUGCUUAUAGAAAGUAUCUUUAUGGUUUUGAAGAGUACUGCCGUUCUGCAAACAUUCAGUUUAGGACCAUCCAUCACAAUGAACCAAAAGUGGUAGAAGACACACAGAAACACGCGGAACCAAUGGAGGAAAGUGUAAAAGAGGAACAAAAAAUGCCCCCAACAGAAGUUAAAAAAGAAGCAGAAGAAAAUUAUUCCAGCAGUGAAAGUGAAAAAGAAGAAAUAGAACUAAGAUCCCCAAGGGGACGAAGAAGACUUGCCCGUGAUGCAACCCCUGCUAAAAAAGAUAGUGAAGAGGAUAAAACACAAGACAAAUUAAAAGACAGUAACAAAGAAAACAAAGACAUAGAGGAAAUGCCCGAGAAUGCUGAAAAGAAAGAAAAUGAAACUCCACUAGGGAGAAAAAGUACACCAAAGCAAAAAGAGAAAAAAAUUAAAAAGCAGGAGGAUUCUGAUAAAGAGUCCGAUGAAGAGGAAGAGAGGCAGAGGGAGAGGGAGGAAAUUGAGAACAAAGGAGAAUCAGAAGGUGAAGAGGAUGAGGAGGACGCAGAACCCUGCCUGACUGGAACCAAAGUGAAAGUAAAAUAUGGACGUGGAAAGACUCAAAAAAUUUAUGAAGCCAGUAUUAAAAGCACAGAAAUUGAUGAUGGAGAAGUUUUAUAUUUAGUUCAUUACUAUGGUUGGAAUGUAAGAUAUGAUGAAUGGGUGAAAGCUGAUCGGAUUAUCUGGCCUGUGGACAAAGGAGGACCAAAGAGAAAACAGAAGAAAAAAACAAAAAAUAAAGAAGACAGUGAAAAGGAUGAGAAGAAGGAUGAAGAGAAACAAAAAUCAAAGCGUGGACGACCCCCUCUGAAAUCCACUCUUCCAUCAAACACAUCUUGCAGUUUAUCCAAAACACCUAAUAGUGAAGACUCUGGCUCAUCUGACAGUGAAGCAGAUGAAUCAUCUGAAAAGAAUUUGAAUGAAGAAUUUUCUCCAGAAACUUCAGAACUGGAAAAAAGUGAAAAACUACAUGAUGAGAAGCUAGAUGAAGAAAACCCAAAGAUUCCUCAUGCAUUGAAAGAAAGUGACAGGACUCAAGUACAGCCAUUAGAAACACUGAAACUGGAAGUUGAAGAAAGUGAACAAAUUGUUCAGAUUUUUGGAAAUAAAACAGAGCAAAUAGAAGAAAUCAAAAGAGAGGCUGAAAAAUCACCUAAAGGAAAAGGGAGAAGGAGCAAGACAAAAGAUCCCUGUUUAGAGAACGCAAAGAUUUCACCAGGAAGCCAAGAAGAGGUGGCAAAUGAAUCUCUUGGAGAACCUGAAAGAUUAGACGUGUCUUCCUUGGACUGUAAAGAGAUUUCCAGCACUACUGAAAGUGAAACAGAACCUUCUACAAAGGAUAAGAAGCUUUUGAAAAGGAAAACUUUGGAACAGGCAUCACCUGAGAAGAGAAAUCGACGAGAGAGUGAGAUGGAAGUGCCAAAUAUUGUAUCUGAAGAGAGGACCAACGAAUGUACUGGAGCAGAGGAAUGUAGAGGGCUGAAUGCUGAAGAGUCCCUCAGAACUGAAAAUGAGGAAAUGCCAUCCCUGGUAGCAGAAUCAGUUCAGCAUGGUCAAGAGCUGAGGAAUGAGAACUUCAAACGUCCGUCUGAAGAAAACGAGAAUGUUCCCUUAAAAGAUGAGGAUGAUGCAAUGCCUCAGAUUGGUCCUGAAACUUUGCUCUGCCAUGAAGUAGACUUGGAUGACUUGGAUGAAAAGGAGAAGAGCAGUAGUGAAGAUGCAGUAUCAGAAAAACCAGACCCUAAUGCUUCAAAUUCAAAUCCAUCUGCCUUACCCCCUGCUGUCCAGUCAAGCUUUUCGGUGGCCUCACCUCUUACUCUUAGUCAGGAUGAAUCACGCAGCAUCAAGAGUGAAAGCGACAUGACUAUUGAAGUUGACAGUGUGGCAGAAGAGUCUCAAGAAGGUCUCUGUGAAAGCGAGUCUGCUAAUGGAUUUGAAGCCAGCACUACAUCAAGCAACUGUAGUAUAGCCGUGCAAGAGAGAGAGAUUGGAGAGAAAGGUCAAAAAAGACCCAGUGAUAGUAAUAGUGGAACACUGGCAAAAAAACAAAAGCGUACUCCAAAGCGAACAAGUGCUGCAGCCAAAAAUGAAAAGAAUGGAACAGGACAAAGUAGUGACAGUGAAGACCUUCCUGUCCUGGACAGUUCAACUAAAUGUACUCCUGUAAAACACAUAAAUGCAUCCAAACCACAGAAGAUUUCUCGAUCACCUGCAAGAGUGAUUUCACCUCACAUCAAAGAUGGAGAGAAGGAUAAACACAGAGAGAAACACCACCACCAGAACGCUUCUCCUAGAGUAUACAAAUGGAGUUUUCAGCUCAAUGAACUAGAUAAUAUGAGCAGCACUGAAAGGAUCUCCUUCUUACAAGAAAAACUACAGGAAAUACGAAAAUACUACAUGUCCUUGAAGUCAGAAGUAGCAACCAUAGACAGGAGAAGAAAACGAUUAAAAAAGAAAGACCGAGAAGUGUCACAUACAGGAGCGUCCAUGUCAUCUGCUUCAUCAGACACUGGAAUGAGUCCGUCAUCAUCUUCUCCUCCACAAAAUGUGCUUGCUGUAGAAUGCAGGUGAUACACAUUUCUCUGCCUUGCCAGCAACUUGCUGCCAUGGACAUAAAUCCUGACAUUCAACCACAGAAAGCACUCAACUGGUUUGACAUUGCCAAGUAUAUUCUGUACACACUUCCACUGCUGGACUGUACCUGUUCUCCCCUCCUACCCUCUUCUGUUUAAUUUACUGUUCAGAGAAAUUAAGCUCAUUGGUAACUGAAGGUUUGUAGGCACAAUGUGACAUGCUUGUCAUUGUGUUUGUUUUGAUUUUGUUGUUUUAUUUGUUUUUACUUUUGUGUUUUGUUUUGUUUUUAAAUGCAGAGAAAGGGCACUUAUCAAAUUUGAAAAGUUAUGUCCAAUGAAGCAUUCAGGUGUUCUAGGGAGAUCUUAGAAAAGCAAGUGCACCAAGCAGACAUCAGAGUAUUAUCAAAAAGAAUUGAGUAACUGCUGCACUUUCACCGAGCUGUACGUUAACUCUUGGUGAGUAGUUCCUCUUUGCAGAAGCACUUGCUAUACAGAACUGCCAAAGUAUGUGUUCAGCAAUGUGCCCAGUUUUAAAGGUGUAAAUGGGACAAAAUAAAUUGUGAAAGGAAGUGUAGUUGACUGAAAACUACAGUUGUAAUAAGUCUUCCACUUUUUAUAGGAUUUUUGAGCACACAAUUAUGCAAAUAUUUUAAUGUUUAUUAAUGUUUACAGUGGAAUUGUGAAUAGGUUUUCAGUGGACUAUCUUAUCCCUUGACAAAAAUAUUUUGUCUUUUUUCUAUGUAAUUUCAGAGUUUUUAUUUUGUUACAAAAAGACGAAAAAUGAAAUAUAUAACAACAAUGAAGUUAUUUAACAAGAUUUCUAAAGCUGAAAUUUUUGUGUAAAAUAAGGUAUCUUGCAACUUGUUAAAUAUAUUUAUUCAGACAUUGGAUGUUGUAUUUUUAUGUAUUUUUUAAAAUAUUAAUAAAAUUGGAAAAAAAAAAUUCUAGGUUAGCUCACUCUUUUGAGAAAACAUACUUACCAGUUAUGGCUCUUAAGGAGGUUUUAUCCAGUAGCUGUGCCUGUAUUUCAAACGGGUCUGUCUACGUAUCCUCCACAAUACAGAUCCGUAAGCGGGCAUCUGGAUUAAACUAUGACUUCGUUUGGAAACUUUGGCAGUCCUAGUACUUACGUUGUUUUGAGGAACAAAAUUUAUUGGGUUGCCCUUAAGAUACUUUGUCACAAGUUCUUAUGUUCGCUAUACUGCCGAAUGAAUUUAUAUCUCCCAAAGUUGAGAUGCAACAAUAAAGUAAAGCAACUGUGUAUGCUUUGUCUGUGGAUUGUCCCACAGACAGAUACAGUUUGUAAAUAACUCUUCCAAAACCAUGUAUUUAAAACAGUUUGCAUAUACAUUAUGUAAAAAAGUGAUUUUUUAUCAAUUUUUUUAUUCAUGUUUGUACAUUGAAAGGGGUUCUUAACCCCCUUUUCUGUGUUUAAUAUGCUGUAGAGUAAUAACAUAGAUGCUCUAGACUGUAUAUCAGGAUACUCUGGUUCACACAGCAGAAAGUCAGAACGAAACACUAGUGAUGGCGUAGCAUUACUAAAAUUGAUGUUUCUUGAAAUUUCAUUUUACAACAUUUGUCAACUUGUGGUUCCAAUUCCUUCCAUUUUCGCAGAAAAUUAAAGAAAAAGUACUCUUGUAAAUGCACUUUUUCUGUCUUUUCUUAAGCAAAGCAGAACUAUUUCAAUGUAACAUAAAUAUGGAGCUCACUAGACAGCAUUAAUAAAGGCCAUGUUUUAAACAUAGGCUUUAUAUUCUAUUUUUAUUUAAGUGAUUGUUCUUGUAAAUGUCUGGACUUACCUAAAUAGGAAAAUUAAUCUCCAUAAAUUGUUGUAAAGACUUUUUUUUCAGAGCUAACUUUCACUGUUAAUCUUAUAAUAGCUAUGAAUAAAAAGCAAUACUCAUUUAAAAGGAAAUAACAUGGGUCACAUUUUCUCAGAUUAUCUUCCAUGUUUAAUAUUUACAGAAGUAAAUUUUAAAUUCAGUGAAAUAAUAGGAUUAAUUUUAUCUAAUGGAGAUAUCUAACCUCUGUCUACAAACAGUGCGAGAUCUUAAACAGGCAUAUACACACACUCAACAUGCACAGAUGAUGAAUGAGCUCUGAACUGUCCGUACUUCGGCAUAGACGUUCACACUGUGUACGCUGACGGCUUGUUAUCUCUUAGGAACGUUUAAAAUAUUGCACGGAAGAGUGAAGGUACGGUCCCGUGAAACACGGAAACCCAUUCUAACAGACAGUUGCUCCUUGACAUAGAGAAAUUCCUUCCUUCCUUCCUUCCUCUUUCCACCUGCUUACCUUGCGCUAGUACUCAUCAGACAGACACCCACGCCUCCAGUAACAACUACCAUCACUGCUCUGGCAGGAAACUAAACCUGCAAGAAAAGGUGAUGACUUUCUGCCAAGCUACUGGCAAAGCCUCAGGCGUGUUAAUGAUUUCCUAGUUUUAUCUUUCUGGCAAGAAGCGUAUCGGUUAGCCAGAUUAUUUGGUAGAUGUUUAAAGUAGUUUCUAUGAAGUUUAAAAAUCCCAUAGGGAAAAGAUGAUUAACUACAUAAGAUAUAUGGGACUAUCCUGUGCUAAUGGUGAUAUCAACAAGAAACCCUAAUAGGUCUUUUAUUUCUAACUUUACUAUAAUCUCUUUAUUUCUGCUUUGUUACCAUAAAAUAAAUUCCAGAGUGUCUUCCAAUGCCUUGAAUGAAAGUUUAUGCUGUCAAGGACACAGUAAUUAUGAUUAUACUGAAUUGGGAUUUUUUUUUUUUUUAAUAAGAGAUUAGGUAUCGUGUUUGCAAGAGCAAUCAAAAUAAAGCACCCUCUUGGCAGGCUUCACACUGUUUCCUGCCUUCUAGUCUUCUGCAGUUUUUUCUCAAACUGAUACAUGUUAUUUCAAGCUUAGUUAGGAGGUUAAAAAAUAUAUAUAAUUAAGAUGAUGGGAUCAAAUACUGUUAGAACUGUUAAAAAGAACAGGGCUGUAAGAGAAUUCAGACCCUCCCCCCACCUCUUGCAAUUGAUACAAAGAACUGUCAGAUUUCUGUCAGAUUCAUUAUUUUUGUAUUAGCAUAUAUCUGAAAGUUGGAAAAAACUUGAAACGUUUGCAUGCAAGGACAUAAGGUAAGAAAAGAUUAAUUUUCCUACUUGUUUUAGUUUUCACUUUCUUUUCAUAAAGUGUACCAGCUACACGUAUACUAAUAAGAUGUUAAUGCCUCUCUAAUGUGUAACUUUAGCAACACCCAGUUAAAUCUCCACUUGUUGCUGGCUCCUCCAUCAGAUUGCUGGUGUUUGAGAAACCUCUUGCUUAAUCAGUUUGAACAGAUGGGGCAGGAGAAGCACAGAUGUCGGAACAAUAAUAACAAGCCGUUAUUUCAACAGAGGUGAAACAAAUUUACGGUAGUGGCUACCAAAAUUACUCGGGAUGGCUUUGAUGGGGAGCUGGAAAGAGAAUUUCAAUAUUGUCAACUCCCGUGUCUCAGUCAGACUAUCCACUCUUGCGAGAGCCUUCUCUCUCCAGAAAGGUUUGUCAACCAGAUGGAAUUUCACAUUAAAAAAAUGAAUAUUCUUAUAAAAUGGUUAUUUUCUCCAUUAAAAAUAUUCUUGGAUAGCUGAGGCGGCCAAAUGGGUUUUCUGGGCAGCGUUUACUGGAAUUCUUUUACGGCAGUAAGUCUAAGAAAUGAUGUUGUUUUCUUUUAAAGACAAGAGAAUAUUUGGUUUGAUCACUUGAAACAAAUCUGACAGGUGAGCCAGAAGACAGACUUACAACCUGAAACAAAAGAUGUGUUAACAAAAGUACGUCAAGCUGUUUACUUCACUGCACCCUUAUGUUUUGCAGAUAUUGUGCACUAAAAUCUUCAUUAUUUUUAUUUCUUUGUACUUGGGAUUUUAUUAUUUGCAACAAUGUGCAGAAAAAGACAAAUACUCACUGCAUUGCCUUAUCUUUUCAGUUUUCUUUAAAUGACAAUUGUGAAAGCAGACUGUUUCUCACCCUUUCUAAGAAUAGGACUUUCCUGGCUUUCUCUUUGUUUUGAAUUAUCUCAGCCCUAUUUAUGUUGCUAUUCCUGCUUCUUCCCAUUUUCAGAGAAAUCCUACUUUCUGUUUUGGAGCAGGGCUGUGCUGGUCGGUUCUGCUUCAGGUCUGCAACUAUGUGCUAUUUAUAUCAGUUAGUAGCCUUAUCCUUUGCUUAUCCUAUACCAAUAGUUUUCAAAGGUAAAAAAGUAUCUGCCUUUGCUUUUAUGACACUUGGCUUUAAUUCAGUGCAGCUCACUCAUCAUGGAAAAAAAAAAAAACACAGCAGCAUUGUGACACUUAUUUUCUCUCUGUUUCAUUGCUUGCCAGCAAAGAAAAUCAGCACUAGAGCUGCAUUACAGCUGUGAAAACCUGCAGGUUGUUUCUCAGUGGUGUGAGGUUAACUCUCGCUGUGAGCCUUGCUGGUGAGGGAUGGUUACGUGUUGCUGGCGAUGUCUCUUUGCCUGCUCUUCAGAGUAACCCAACAUUUCCGUGCCAGCCUGUCAGUGUCUUCAGCUAUUUCUAAACUGUUCCUCGUCUAAUCCCUCAUCUGGGUACAGCGUGACCUAAUUUGCCGUGAACCUGCCAGCUCUGCCAGUUACGUAAGGAGGGAUCUGUCACCCUCCCGCCACGGGCCCCCACAGCCAAGUGGCACCUGUCCUGCCAUGGCUGCUCCCUGAUCACCUUUGUCACCUGCCGCAGCAUUUCGAUUCCCUCUCCGAGACAUCCUCCCUACGUGCCCUGAAGGCAAUAAAAACUUUUACGUCUGUUUCUGUAUGUGAGAAAUCCUAGGAAGACAGACUUGAACAUCAUUUUACAGUCCUGAACUACUAAAACUUGAAUGCUGAAUGCUCCCUGUUGCAUUUACAGAAAGAACCAAACACCAAAAGGCUAAACGAGCAUGAAGGUAAGAUGACUAUGUGAUGGAGCUCCCUGCAAUGCAGAGAAGUGGAUUUAACAGCCAGAGCUUUAGAGGCCUAUGUUUCUAUGACUCACUACAAUGCAGGGAACAUGGGUAAGUAAACAAGUAUUUCAGCAGGAUUCUACCUUCGAAAAACAAGAUGCAGGCUGUAGGUGGGCAACUUCCAUGUCCAUAAAGAUACCACCCAUCAGAAGUCGAGGCACAAGAACCUCCAC